UGGGGAAUUUUGGACAAUGGGCGCAAGCCUGAUCCAGCCAUGCCGCGUGCGGGAAGAAGGCCUUCGUGUUGUAAACCGCUUUUGUCAGGGAAGAAAUCUUCUGAGUUAAUACCUCGGGAGGAUGACGGUACCUGAAGAAUAAGCACCGGCUAACUACGUGCCAGCAGCCGCGGUAAUACGUAGGGUGCAAGCGUUAAUCGGAAUACUGGGCGUAAAGCGUGCGCAGGCGGUUUUGUAAGACAGAGGUGAAAUCCCCGGGCUCAACCUGGGAACUGCCUUUGUGACUGCAAGGCUUGAGUGCGGCAGAGGGGGGAUGGAAUUCCGCGUGUAGCAGUGAAAUGCGUAGAUAUGCGGAGGAACACCGAUGGCGAAGGCAAAUCCCCUGGGCCUGCACUGACGGCUCAUGCACGAAAGCGUGGGAGCAAACAGGAUUAGAUACCCUGGUAGUCCACGCCCUAAAACGAUGUCAAACUGGUUGUUGGGAAGGUUCCUUCUCAGUAACGUAGCUAACGCGUGAAGUUG
rnacentral:rRNA from 1 species